GUUAGUUAUGAAGUGAAUGGAGUUUUCGCCGUUAUUUCCUUUUUGGAUUUUGAUCGUUCCCUCCACACCAUAGAAAGGAAUUUUUUUUCUUCCACAUUAUCAAGCUGAUGUUUUAUCAAAGUCUCACAUCUACAAAGGUGAUACUGUGUCUUUUUACAUCCUGGAAAACAAAAGUUCAUAAACCUCUAUAGAAA